AUUCUGCGGAUUAUUUGGCAAAGGAAGCAUUGACACAUGCGCCAAU
rnacentral:misc_RNA from 1 species